CAUAGAGAGGAACACUUUUUUAAGUGUCUUCUCAUCUGAAAAUUGUAUGCUGCUUGAGGCCGAUAUUGGUGUCUUUUGUCUUUGUUUUUUCUUUUUUUAGCACGGCACCCGUGGCUUAUGGAGAUUCACAGGCUAGGGGCCGAAUCAGAGCUGUAGCUGCUGGCCUACGCCGCAGCUCACGACAACGCCAGAUCCUUAACCCAUUGAGCAAGGCCAGGGAUCGAACCCACAAUCUCAUGGUUCCUAGUCGGAUUCAUUAACCACUGAGCUAUGACGGGAACUCCCUGGAAGGACUCUUAACACCAGAUUGGGCAGCAGCCCCUGCCUUAGACUUUCUUGCAAUCAUCUAGAAACUGAAUUUGUGCUGCAUUUUUCUCAAGUGAAAUGGUUCAUAAUUAAAGAGGUUGAAGUGGAAAGAAGUGUACAUAGAAUUUUCACUGGAGAGCAAAUUUUACACCUGAUGCCUGGUUAUUAAUUAAAUUAUAUACCUGGCAGUACAAUUUCGGCUUCUCUUAAAAGUUAAAUUCUCACUGUCUAUGAAAGACACUGGGAAGCUUUGAUGGGAUUUUAAAGGUGCCCGAUUAUUAGAGUCAUGAAAAUGAGCACAGACCCUGAAACAAGUCUGUAUUGUCUGAAGGCAGUGGUUCUCAAGCUGCAGUGGGCAAUAGAAUCACUUGGAGGGCUUCUUAUAUUCCUGGGCCCUGCCCCCAAUUUCUGAUUCACUAAGUCUAGGGUGGAGCUUGAGAAUUUGCAUUUCUAACGAAUUCCCAGGAGAUGCUAUUGCUCCAGAAACUAUGCUUUGAGGACCACUGAAUUAAAGGCAGCCCUGCAAUUUACUUAAUUUAAUAUCAGUAUUCCAUUUCACUCAGUGUUUUUAUUUCUUCUUCAGCCUCCUUCUCAGCCAGUCACUUCUGUGGCCCCUUAGAUAGAACAUCAAUGUUUAACGAUUGGCUUUAGGGUUGAGGAAGAGCCCUAGUUUGCACCGGUCCCAGUUUCUGUGGUGCAAAUAACUACCAUCGUGGCCCGUUUAAAGCUUCCAAUACCACAACAAUCACCUUGUGUAAAAUUUCUGAAAAUUUAAUGAUCCUCUUCAGCACAGCCCUGGAUCAUAAGGAAAUGUCAAAGGUCAUGCUGAAAUUUAACCUUAUGUAAAGGGGACCCUUGGGUGCUGUUGGUGGGACUGUAAAUUGGUACAGCCAUUACGGAGAACAGGCCAUACAGAGGUGCCUCAAAAAUUAAAAUAGAACUAUCUUAAGACUCAGCAAUCCCACUUCUGGGUCUCUACCCAAGGGAAAUGAAAUCCGUUUCUCAAAGAAAGAGCUACAUUCUUGUGUUCAGUGUGGCAUUUUUCACAAUUGCCGAGACAGGGAAACAACCUAAGGGUCUAUCGGUGGAUGAAUGGAUAAAGGAACUGUGGAACAUUUAUACAAUGGAAUAUCAUUCGGCCAUAAAAAAGAAGGAACUAAAUCCUGUAAUUUGCAAUAACUUGGAUUAACCUUGAGGGUAAGUGAAAUCAGCAAAAUGGAGAAAGACAAUACUGGGUGGUGUCCUUAUGAAGCGGAAUAAUCACACUCAUAGACGCACAAAGGAGAACUGUGGUUGUCGCGGGUGUGGGGGAAAUGAGGAGAGGUAGGUCUGCAGGUGCAGACUUUUGGUUCUAAGGAAUAAGUUCUGGGGAUCUAAUGUGCAGCACGGCGACCUUCGUUAAUAGCAGUGUAUUGUACACUGGAAGUUGGCUAAGACAGUAGAUCUCAAUUGUUGCUGCCACCAAAAAGGGUUAAAUGUGUGAAAAAAGGAAAAGGAAGGGAGGGAGGAAGGAAGGAAGAAAAUUAACCUUAUGUGAGAUGGACUUUUACCCCUCUUCGAGGGUCAGAUAUGGAGAGGGAUACGAAAUAAAUUCUUGUUUAUGCCUGGGUGGUUCCAUGAAGGGGAUUGCAGUCCAGAGGGUAUGGAUACUGUAGUUCAGUAGUUAAAGACUGAUCGUUGUAUUGGCUCUAAAGCCUUUUGAUUUUGAAUUCGUUGCUGACUUUAACUGAGAUGUUUCAUAUGGAAAAAAAUUUCAGUGUCUUUUAUUGGCUGACAUGUUGGAAGUUGUGGCAGCCCCCCGUCUCAGAUUCUUAGUCAUCAGCCAUUACCUGGAGCUGUGUAAUAGCUGUUUCCUCCUCCACCUGUUCCGCACGUAGACUGGGAAGGACCUUUCCAGUCCAUGCCUGUUCCCAGGCUACCAGCUCUGCAGCCAUCAGGCCUGCCUCAUCCAUCUCCACUCACACUGGCUAACACUGGCUGUCAUGCCCUCUGCACCAUUUGAAGAUGCAAAUCCAGGAGAAUAUGCAUCCUUCUUCAUGGGUGCAAGAUCCACUAGGGAGAAGGGAAACAUUUGAUUCCCUCGAAGGACCUUUACACAUUAAAGAGUGAAAGCGGUCAGGUAGCUCUUUUUUAUUCCUUCUUCUGUGUUCUCAUCUCCUGCCCUCCCUUUACUUGGAGAGGGGGAAAGGAUGAAAGAAGAAUUAUUCUUUCUAGAAACAGAAGCCCAAACCUGGAGAACCCUCCAAUUUCUCUUUCCAAACUACAGACCUGGAAUCUAGAGGAGGCUAUUCCUGAUAAGAGAAGACUUGUUCCUUGGUGGUUUAAUGAUUGUUUAUAUGGUGUGAACACUUUUCUGGUCCGAAUCCUGUGAUUUAUGUCCCGUUAUGUCACACCGGUAUUCCCUUUCCCAUUUUCUCUCAGCAUCUUGAAUCUGCCCUGCCCAGGUUAAUUUAUACAUGCUUAGGUUCUGUUAUUAUGGGAAAACACAAAGACAAAGAAAACCCUUCUCACAAAAUCGUUGGCUUGCCUGAACCCCACUGUGGUUAUUUUAUUUGAGGGUAGUGUCAUGAGGGAGAUAGUCUAAGAGUCUCAGUCAGAAAAGCAUGGAUUUCCAUCUGAUCAUUAUCAGAUUGAGAGCUAAAUACUUUGGCACCUUUCAUGAGGAAAGAGCCCUGGGAAUUUUCUGGAUAAACAUCAUCAGUUUUGACAGCGUGCAGAAUUUAGGCCACCCACGUUGUGUGGGGUCCAAAACUGUUCCGUGAAGUUUACAUGAUGUGUUUCAAGAGUUUGGUUGAACUUGUAAUUUAACCUGGUGGCAGGGGGGAGAGUAAAUAAAUACUGGUGGGAAAAUAUUUGUGCUCAAAAUCAAUAAGGAACGGGCAGUAUGUUGCCUGCACUCUGAGAGCUUGGCUUUGCAGCUGAAGUUAGUACCGGGUGGCUUUCGUCAAGAGCAAGGAAGGGAGAGCAAAGACGUCGACCCUGGGUUGGGCAUGUUGGCUUGCUAAGGAUUGCUGCUGCCGGCUCCUUGUCUUAUGAUGUUCAAGUCAGGUUUAUCCACAGCUGAACACUCAGUGAGGAUUAUUCAGCCUUCACUUUGUGCCAUGUGGUGCAACACAGGAAAUUAGCAGUGUGAUCAAGAGUCUCACUUGUGAGGGGUUCCUGCUGUGGCCCAGUGGGUUAAGGAUCCCAAGUUGCCGCCGCUUCGGUAUAGGUCACAGCUGCAGCUCAAAUUCAGUCCCUGGACUGGGCACGUCCAUAUGCCACAGGUGUGGUCAUAAAAAGGGGGGGGGGGAUGUGACUCUCUUAUGAGAUGGAGAAACUGACUCCUAGAGAAGUCACUUACUCUAUGGUGGUCUCACAACCCAUGUGUGAGGGACCUGGGCCUUGGCUCCAGCUCUUCCUGAGUCCACCUUUUAUCAUUCCUCUUUCUGUGGCUGAUUUCUAGUGUCAUGCUGUUGUGGUCUGAGUCCUUUUGAAUCACAUAUUCUCUGCAUAUGUCAUGGCCUUUGGAAGAGGAUCCCUUGUAAGUUUUUUUUUAAUACCCCUAAAUGUGGAAUCUGUAACAUUUCUUACUUUAAACUCCUCUACUGGGUACAAGUUCUUUGGCUAUUGCCUAGCACAUGCCAUCUCUCUGAUGAGGCCUGAACAUACUUUGAUUUUGAAUGCAUAUUGAUGUAUAUAUUAUGGUGAGUUCAUCUGACUUUAUAACAUGUAGCUUUAACUUCUCUAUUUUUUCCUUCUUUAGUUGAUUCAUCCACCAACUAUCUGCAUACAUAGGGAAAAAAUACUUUCGUCUCUUUUCUUUCAUUUAGGAAAAUUGAAAGACACUAGAUUUUCAAACUCCCACCCAAAUAAAGUAGGCAGGUUCCUACAUUCUGUAAAAAGUACAGCAUCUGGUGAAUGGAGCAUGUUAGAAUUUCCAUUAAGAAUUCUCCCAGGCUCUAGUUUUCUGGAGCCGUGUGGUAUUCUCCCAGUGAACCCGGAAGUAUGUUUUUUUAAGAAUUUCUUGGAGUUCCCAUUGUGCUGCAACAGAAACAAAUCCAACUAGGAGCCAUGAAGUUGCGGGUUUGAUCCCUGGCCUCAGUGGGUCAAGGAUCUGGCAUUGCUGUGAGCUGUGGUGUAGGUCGUAGACGCAGCUUGGAUCUUGUGGCUGUGGUGUAGGCGGGCAGUUGUAGCUCCGAUUUGACCCCUAGCCUGGGAACCUACAUAUGCACUUGCGGCACUAGAAAGCAAAAAAAAAAAAAAAAAAAAAAA
rnacentral:lncRNA from 1 species